AUAAAUUACAACCAUAACUAUAAUGAUAUAUGAACAAAAAUCUAUGCAUUGCUAUAGAAAAAUAAAUCCAGAUAUUGGGGCAAAAUUGUAAAGUAACACCAAA